GAUGAACGCUGGCGGCGUGCCUAAUACAUGCAAGUCGAGCGAACGGACGCGACUCUUGCUUUUCUGAUGUUAGCGGCGGACGGGUGAGUCACACGUGUAUCACCUACCUAUAAGACUGGGAUCACUUCGGGAAACCGGAGCUAAUCCCGUAUAAUAUUUUGCUCCGCAUGGUUCAAUAGUGAAAUACGGCCUUGCUGUCACUUAUCGAUGGUUCCCCGCUGCAUUAGCUAGUUGGUAAGGACACGGCUUAUCAAGGCGACGAUGCCUAGCCGACCGGAGAGGGUGAUCGGCGACACUGGAACUGAGACACGGUCCAGACUCCUACGGGAGGCAGCAGUAGGGAAUCGGCGGCAAUGGGCGAAAGCCUGACGGAGCAACGCCGCGUGAGUGAUGAAGGUCUUCGGAUCGUAAAACUCUGUUAUUAGGGAAGAACAGAUGUGGAAGUAACUGUGCACAUCUUGACGGUACCUAAUCAGAAAGCCACGGCUAACUACGUG
rnacentral:rRNA from 1 species